AAAGUCGUAACAAGGUUUCCGUAGGUGAACCUGCGGAAGGAUCAUUAAUGAAUUUAGGGGGUUUGCUGUGCCGUCCUCACGGAAUUGUGCACGCUUACCUCUAUAUCCUUAUUCAACACCUGUGCACCUUCUAGGGAAAAAUGGUAGCAAUACCAGAUUCUCUAUUUUACACACUCUUUAUGUCAAUGAAUGUUACUUGGCCGAAAGGCUAGAAUUAUAAACAA
rnacentral:misc_RNA from 1 species